GCCUCGGUGGUGUAGUGGUGGAGCAGGCGCCCCCAUAGGAUGAACGCGGGUUCGAUUCCGGUCUGAGGCC